CCUACGGGAGGCAGCAGUGGGGAAUAUUGCACAAUGGGGGAAACCCUGAUGCAGCGACGCCGCGUGAGGGAAGAAGUAAUUCGUUAUUUAAAGCUCUAUCAGCAGGGAAGAAAAUGACGGUACCUGAGUAGGAAGCCCCGGCUACCUACGUGCCACCAGCCGCGGUAAUACGUAGGGGGCAAGGGUUAUCCGGAUUUCCUGGGUGUAAAGGGAGCGUAGACGGCAGUGCAAGUCUGGAGUUAAAGGCGGGGGCCCAACCCCCGGAGUGCUCGGGAAACUGGACGGCUGGAGUGCAGGAGAGGUAAGUGGAAUUCCUAGUGUAGCGGUGAAAUGCGUAGAUAUUAGGAGGAACACCAGUGGCGAAGGCGGCUUACUGGACUGUAACUGACGUUGAGGCUCGAAAGCGUGGGGAGCAAACAGGAUUAGAUACCCUUGUAGUC
rnacentral:rRNA from 1 species